rnacentral:rRNA from 1 species
UGCAGUCNAGCGGAGCUUGUCCUUCNNGGACANGGUUAGCGGCGGACGGGUGAGUAACACGUAGGUAACCUGCCCGUAAGACUGGGAUAACAUUCGGAAACNAAUGCUAAUNCCGGAUACGCAGCUUGGUCGCAUGACCNNGCUGGGAAAGAUGGAGCAAUCUNUCACUUACNGAUGGACCUGCGGCGCAUUAGCUAGUUGGUGAGGUAACGGCUCACCAAGGCGACGAUGCGUAGCCGACCUGAGAGGGUGAUCGGCCACACUGGGACUGAGACACGGCCCAGACUCCUACGGGAGGCAGCAGUAGGGAAUCUUCCGCAAUGGACGAAAGUCUGACGGAGCAACGCCGCGUGAGUGAUGAAGGCCUUCGGAUCGUAAAGCUCUGUUGUCCAGGGAAGAAC